GCUGAAUUUUUCUUUUUUUGGCUAACUUCUCCUGGAAUCAUCUUUCCAGUUUGGCAGGUACUCUGCACAAAGCAAUGACCCGCCCCCCCCCACCCCAUAGUGGAGUCCUUCUC